rnacentral:lncRNA from 1 species
AUGGCGACCGCCACGGAGCAGUGGGUUCUGGUGGAGAUGGUACAGGCGCUUUACAAGGCUCCUGCUUACCAUCUUAUUUUGGAAGGGAUUCUGAUACUCUGGAUAAUCAGACUUCUUUUCUCUAAGACUUACAAAUUACAAGAACGAUCUGAUCUUACAGUCAAGGAAAAAGAAGAACUGAUUGAAGAGUGGCAACCAGAACCUCUUGUUCCUCCUGUCCCAAAAGACCAUCCUGCUCUCAACUACAACAUCGUUUCAGGA